CCAACUGUCAGUUACCUUCUGCUGCCACCUGCCUCUCUGCUGUGACCUUUUCAGGCCCAGAUUCUGGAACAGAUUCAGUGCAGUCUGGGUGACUCACUGAGCUUCGACGAAAGACUGUGCCCAGGGAGGCAGUAUGAACUACCGGAUUCUGUUCCUGGCCCCACCAGUGUCCUGCUGGGUGAUCUUGGACAAAGCACUCUUCCACUCUGUACCUCAGAUUCCCGCAUCGUGAAAUGGGGAUAAUGAUUCCUACUUCCUUUGUAAAGUGUUUUGAAUUCUGUAGAUGAA